AGACUUACCUGGCAGGGGAAGUACCAUAAUUGCAAAGUUGGUUUUGCCAGGUUGAGGCUUAUCCAUUGCACACCAGGUGUGCUGACCCCUGUGAUUUUCCCCAAAUGUGGGAAACUGCAUAGUUUUGUGGUUGUGGGGGACAAUGUUUGUGUUCUCCCCUG
ensembl:snRNA Gm24626 predicted gene, 24626